rnacentral:tRNA from 1 species
CAGGGAGACAACAAAAUGUAAAAUAUUAAUUUUGUCACCUUAGGUCGAUCGGUAUCUCACAUUCUUAAUUUUUUUAAGGAUAUUAUUUCCUAAGUUUUUUCUAGGUCACACCCAUUACUUUUCCUGGGCCAUUAGCUCAGGUGGUUAGAGCGCACCCCUGAUAAGGGUGAGGUCCCUGGUUCAAGUCCAGGAUGGCCCAUAUCUCUAUGUUGGGGGUAUAGCUCAGUUGGUAGAGCGCCUGCUUUGCAAGCAGGAUGUCAGCGGUUCGAGUCCGCUUACCUCCACUGAUUACCACCUCUUCCAUAUUUUAAAGAAGGGAAAUGUUUUUGAGUUGUGAUCAAAUUCUGAACGAAUCUAGCUUCCUAAUGUGAUCAUUAAGAUGCUGGACUCAUUGAGUUAUUUUCAAUGUUUUCAGAGAACCUUGACAACUGCAUAGAUUAUUUUUAAAGACAAUAAGCAUCUUUAAUGAUGCAGAUUUAUUAUUUGUGCGAAUGCAUUAAUAACAAUUCUAUUAAGCUGAUGCUUCAAUUUUUGAAGUUAUU